ensembl:lncRNA
AUAGAAGACAGCGCGCUAGCGUAUCUAGUCUAUGUAUACCUAUGGUCUGUACGUCUGGUAGCAUCUCCGGCUGCUGUUGAUCUUGUUUUUGGAGUAAAACACGGUGGAAGCUGAAUUAGCGAGGAUGACUCCUGCUCCUGUCAUCUCUAAGCUCCUCAUACAUCUUUACCUGCACAUGAGGAAAAUCACUCCUGUAGAAUGCAGAUGUUCAGAGGGAGAUGAUGCCACAUCUGGUCCAGCUGAUGGAAGGUCUUGAAGUUCUCUGACUGGCCUCGACUGAAGAUGGUCGUCUCACUGGAUUUAAGGUUCAGAUGCUCAGUAACAAACUCCACCAAUGUGCCAACAGGGAAGCUUUAGGUUUAUUAAAUGUUGCUAUGAAGGUAUUGCUGUUUUUCUUUGUGAAUGCAAUGUGCUCCAACUGAAAGUUGAAUUAGAACUUAGAAGUAAAUCCUUCCAUCUGAAAGGAUUUAGUUGCAUUAAUAACCUCAUAACAUUCUAAUUUUUAUUCCAGUCUUAGUUGGAAAUAGAAUCUCUGUAUUGAUUCAGGUAAAAACUGAACUUCACAGCAUGAUGGAGCAAAACACCCAGAUGAAAACUGUGAUGGUGUUGGAUUGUCAGACCGUAAUGUUGCAGCUCAAAGCAGCUUUUCUAGCUCAGUUCAUUCUGACAUUCAGCUAUGAAUCAACACAGCAGAUGGUGAUCCAUGCUGUGGAAGUCUCACAUCUCCUGAUUUAAUGGAGCUGCUUUGCACUUUUUACACUGUUUAUUCACCAACACUUUAUUUAAUAAAAGUCCUAUCUAGUUUUUAUGAGGAAAGUGAUGUUUUAAUUUCUCUGUGAAUAACUGCAGUCUAAUGAACAGCUGGAGUUGUAACAUCUGUCCUGAUAUUGAUCAUGAAGUAUUGAUCAGAAUACUUAUGGUCAGCAGUCAUCCCUGAAGUUUUACAUUGAAAUCUUUACUUGUGUUGUGAACUUUGGUAAGAAGCAGAAACGUUAGCGUUGCCAUGGAUACAUGAGUGUUAAAUUCUGUCCAUGUUUCCAUUUUGGGAAAUGCAGUCCAGUUCCAGAAUGUGGAGGAAUUUAGUCUCAAUCACAGACAACAAAUAUUAUCUGAAAGUCGAGUUAUUGUUGUUUAUCAGCACAAUACAAAAAUAUUCAUGUUAGACAUAUUCCAGUUAAGACUCUAGAAUAUUAUGAUUUAUGUAAAUUUACCUCAAUAAUAUGAAUGUUCAGGUUAAGAUUGUACAGUGAUAUUUAUUAUGUAAGUUUAGCUGAUUAAACAAAUGACUCUGCACUAAAAUAUUACUUAAAUUUACAUCAUUAUUAUAGUAUUUAGGGUCAGACCCUACAGUAUUGCGAUUAAGAAAUCAAAUAUUUUAUAAAAUGUAAAUACACUGAACUCAUUUGGAUAUAUUUAAGUGAGACUCUACAAUAUUAUUUUACACAAAUCUAUCUAAAUCAAAAUUUUAAUAAUUUUCACGCCAAACAUUUACUGGACUGAUUUAAAUAUUAAAAUCACUCCUUUCUAAUCCUCUGCUGUACGUUGAAACCUGAGGCCUUAAAUAGAAACACACAAGUAUCUGAUUGAAGGAACUUCUGCAGAGUCCUGGUUCCAGAACAUGAUGAUAGAAUUAUAGACAAACUUUAACAAAAGCUGACUGAGAGUUUACAGGUUUUUGUUAGAUUUCUUCAGUAAUUUAAUGAGAGUUAUCAGCAAAAAUCAAGUGUUCAUUUGAUGAACUUCAUUUCCUAAAACAUCCAGAAUUGGAGCUCAUAUCUUUGGCAGCUGUAAAGUUUCUGCUCCUUCAAAGUUCACAACACAAUGAAUUAAUUCCUAAAACACUCUCAAUGCUGGAGAGUGUUUGUGAUGCUGAAGCAGUGACCAGUUUUUCUGUUUCUUCUCUGGAGAUGCACAAUGAGGGACGUCUGCAGAGACUGAGAAAGAGUCUCACCACAUCCUGACAUGAGGAAAAAGACUUUAUUGAAGACUACAGUGAGAAAAACUAUCAGACAGCAGACGGCUGCAUUCAAGUCUGUAGCUGCUGAAUUCAUGGAUGAAUCAUCUGGCACUAGAGAGGAAGACCAUCAAACAUCCACAUCAGCUGAUGGAGGUCCAAGAGUCUCACCAAACAACCAACCUACAGAGUGAAGACCUCGAAUCUGAUUGGACGGCCUCCUGUUCAGCCACGUGUGAACAAAUGCCUCUAAGCUGAUUUGUUUUCUAAAAUAAGUCUAGUUUGAGUCCUAAUCUAUGCCUGUGUGUUUGCUUCUUUACACUGCUGUUAACAGUUAAGGCUGUUAGAUUGUUCCAGAUAAGACGAGUACAAAAUUCUUCAGAGCUGUUCUACCACGAGCCUGACAGGAAGAACUCCAACAGCUAUGGAAUGUUCCUGUGUUCCUACAGUAGUGAAUUUUAGGUGGAAUAUACCAUUGAACUCAACUUUUAGGUCUACAUUGGAGGAUUUUAGGUGGAAUUUUCGUCCAAACCUCUUUUAGUCUACAUUUAAGGAUGUUUAGGAUGGUAUAUUCUUCCAAACCAACUUCUCAGGUCUACAUUUCAGGUGGAAUAUUCCUCCAUACUAACUUUUUUGGUCUACAUUGAAGGAUUUUUUCUAAACCACCCUUUCGGGUCUAUAUUUGGGGUUUUAGGUGGAAUAUUCCUUUUAACCAGCCCCUCAGGUCUCUUUGAGGAUUUUGGAUGGAAUACUCGGUUAAACCAACAUUUUAGGUGCAUGUCCAAGGAUUUUUGGUGGAAUGUUCCUAUAAGGUGGAUGUUUGAGGACCUUGUAGGUGGAAUACUUCCUGAAACCAACCUUUUAGGUCAACAUUCAAAGAUUUAAGGUGGAAUAUUCCUUUAAACCAACCUAAAUUUCAUGUUUUGAUCAUUAUCAAGUGAGAAACCUCAAUCCAGAUUCCUCAUAAUGACAUUUGAGAUUUAUGCUGCUGUUAUUUGUUUAGUCCAGACUAAAUGACAGAAAUCCACAACUGUAAUUUUAUUUCAGGACUCCGUUAUUAAAUGUCAAAACAAUCCAUGUGACUCUAAAAACUCAACAGCUGUACAAACUCUAAGAUUAAACUCUCCACAAGGAUUCAAAAUAAGUUGGACUUCUACAUGAGAGCUUUAAUUAUUCUUCGUCUACUUCCUGAAAAUUUUGGUCAAUAAAAAAGACAAAAACUAAUAUUUUCAGUUGAACUAAAGACAGACUUUGUGAUUUUUCUGCUUACAUGUUGUGUUGUUGUAAACUUCCUCUUUCAAAUAAAUAGCGGCCUAACCCCCUGGAAACCAGCAUUUGUCCUGUUUUUGUGUUGCUCCUCGGCGAGCCCAGACAGCCGGGUCAUAAUGUUUUUUGAGCAACACACCAUACUAUGACGUUUUUACAAUGAUGGUUCUACUAUGGAACCAGUUUGACAUGUUCAGGUGUUCUUUGUGUGAAAACUCAGAGAUUUCAGGUAUCAGAAGGUGGUUUUCAACUUUCUUUGUUAACUUUCUGCCUCAACUUUAAACUAAAUUUCCUUCACUAACCCAGUCCUCUGGACUUCCAGUAAGCUGUGUUCCUAUUGGCUGUCCAGGUGGCUGCUUGGUGUUAUCAGGAACACCUGAGCAGCUUGGUGUUAUCAGGAACACCUGAGCAGCUCAGUGUCUUCCUGCUUUAUUUAGCUGCAGCCAAACAUUUCCUCUGCUUCACUUCACCACUGAACCGGGUUUGACUCUGUUGCUUUAGUUUGUUUUUUUAGGCAUUGGCUUGCAGCUUCCAGCAGUAAAAUCGUCUUUAAUGUGUUUCUUGGUGUGUUUUAGGGCUUUGUACUGGAUAGUUGUCUUGGUAAAUGUGGUUCUUUAGCCACAGUUAGCACAUGGUGCUAAUGUGUGCAGUGAUUAGUGGAUUUGCUCCAGCUGAGUUGUGUCUUUAUCUUGGCUGCACUGAGUCUUUAGAGGUUUUUGGUCAGAUACAUUCUGUAUUCUUGUUUGAGAACCAGCGUUGGUUGUCCAGAAGGUAAGAGUUCCUGUCCUGAUUCUCUGUUCUCAGAGGUUCUCUGGUAGGCUGCAGGAGACUUUAGCGUUUGGGUUGUGCUAGUUUGGUUUUUGUACUGUUUCAUUUGGACGACUAUUUUGAGGCCCCUCCAUGUGGUUUAGUAAGGUUUUCUACAACAGUUCUACAAAGCAACCUGCAGGAGAAGAGACUUUGAGAGUUUUUAGGAAGUUCUGGAGAGCAGACUUUAGAGCAGCAGAAACAUUUGUCAGCAGUUUGAGCAGGAGAAGGUGAGCUUCAGAGUAGAAAUGAGACGGAAACCUUCUUGACCCGUGUGGUGAGGUCCUGUACCAAGAGUUUGAGCA